rnacentral:rRNA from 1 species
UCGGAAUUACUGGGCGUAAAGCGCGCGUAGGUGGUUAGUUAAGUUGGAUGUGAAAUCCCCCGGGCUCAACCUGGGAACUGCAUUCAAAACUGACUGACUAGAGUAUGGUAGAGGGUGGUGGAAUUUCCUGUGUAGCGGUGAAAUGCGUAGAUAUAGGAAGGAACACCAGUGGCGAAGGCGACCACCUGGACUGAUACUGACACUGAGGUGCGAAAGCGUGGGGAGCAAACAGGAUUAGACUACCCCUGGUAG